CCCUCAAUCUGUGAAUGUUUUAAUGGUCAAAAUAAUUUCCAAAAAAUAUUUAGGAGGAUGUUCCUAAAAAAACAAUGUAUAGACAUAUAUAAAUUAAUCCUACCAGCUGGAUGUGAUCUAGAUUGUUGAGCUAAAAUAAAUGUAAUUCACUAAUUGUAAUUAGAUGUUUUCAAUAAGCGCAUGUGUGUCUCUCAGAACACACAGAAAAAGAACAUAACAAAUAAGUUUAUGUUGUUUAUGGGAAUAGUUAAGAGAACUAGAUUGAGCCGAAGAAGUUAAUCAUGCAUACAUUCGACAAUUACGCCAGUAAAAUGCUAAUUUCUGGGUAAUGUGCACUGUGGGGAAAACCUUCAUGAAAUGGAAGAAAAUUCUCGUCUUCAAAAGUGUCUUUAAAUCGUCGGUAAAUGUUCGCGACGACUCAACUAUGAUUUCAAAAGGAGGAGCUGAUUCAUAUUUUCCCAAAAAAUAUCACACACCGGUAAUCUGAUCACUUUUCCCCAAAAUCCUGACCAUAUGAACCCUUAACGAGUGUCGAUCACCAGCCAAUCAGAAUGUAUUUUGAUCAGAGGGACGCUGGAAGAAAGACGGAGGAGCAGCUACCCCGCAUGAGCUCGGCGCGGCUUCUUAACGAGCUACAUACUUUCCCCCGGACUCCUGGCCAAGAAGACGCCAGCAGAGCUCUGAUGAUGGACGUAGAGCUGUUUACUCCGUUCUCAGAUCAAUCAGCUGAUAACCCGGACUAUUUUAACAUCGGGGUCACCCGCUUGGGGGUUGCAGUUUAUAAGAGUGAUAUAUUGAUAUAUAUGUAUUUUUUUAUAUUUUUAAUAGAAUAUGUAUAUUAUUGUUUCUAUCCAUUUUAUAUGUGCUGCUGCUUAUUUGUUUUGAUAAAGAUACAUUUAUACUCUAAUGUAAAGGGAACCCUAAAUCUAGUUCACGGGGCAUAACAAGUUUAAGUCAGACUCAUCCUGUGAAUUUAUGGACAUGUAACUAAAGACAGGCCCGUCUUCCAAUCAGGGGGUUGGCGGUUCAAUCCCCGCCCUAGUCGAUGUGUCCUUGAGCAAGACACUAAACCAUGAAUUGCUCCCUGUAGCUGUGUGUAAAUGUAAUAUGUAAAGUGUCUUUGAGUAUCUUAAAAAGCACUAUAUAUAAAUGAAAUGGAUUAUUAUUAUAAUUUAGUAUCAGCUGGUUGGUGACGUGUUGCUCCUCUGACGCGACGGCGCCCAACUAGCAACCAUUGCCAUGUGCACCAUCGUAAUAUUUGGUGAAUAUACAACUUAAUAAAACUUGUGUAUCACAUU